rnacentral:rRNA from 1 species
UGGUUGCGUAUGUUUCAGGAUAGUUGCAAGGACGCCAUCUGGUGGAUGGCUAGGCUGGGGGGACGAUGAAGGGCGUGGCAAGCUGCGAUAAGCGCCGGGUAGGUGCAUGCAACCGUUGAUCCGGCGAUCCCCGAAUGGGAAUCCUGCCCAUAAGGGCACUCCCCUGCUUAAGUAGGGGAGGGUGAACCACCCGAAAGGAAGCAUCUGAGUAGGGUGAGGAGGAGAAAUCAACCGAGAUUCCCUGAGUAGCAGAGAGCGAAAGGGGAAGAGCCCAAACCGAACCUGCUAUAGCAAUAUGGCAGGGAUGUGGGGUUGCUGGUAACCCCCUUCAGUGGGAGUAUACCUGAGCAUCUAGCCGAAGUGCCCUGGAAUGGGCUGGCGUAGAGGGUGAUACCCCCGUAGGCUAAAGAUGCUUGGGUAUGCGUUACCAGCGAGAGUAGCUGGCCUUGGCAGUGGCUAGCGAAGAUGGGGGAAAGUAGCCUCCAAGGCUAAAUACCUCCCCAGACCGAUAGCGCACUAGUACCGUGAGGGAAAGCUGAAAAGCACCCCGAGAGGGGGGUGAAAAGAGCCUGAAACCAGAUGGUUACAGACGUGCACCGCCUGAAAGUACCCGCAAGGGUACAGGGUGGUGCGUUCCGUCUAGAAACACGGGCCAGGGAGUUUACCCUCAUGGCGAGCUUAAGCCUUUAGGCGGAGGCGAAGGGAAACCGAAUCCCUGCAGCGCAAGCAAGGGGGAGGGUCUGAAAGGGCCUCUAGUCAUGGGGGUAAGGCUAGAAACCGAGCGAUCUAGUCCUGGGCAGGGCGAAGCCGGGCGAAAGCCCGGUGGAGGCCCGCAGGGGUGCUGACGUGCAAAUCGCUCCUCUGACCUGGGACUAGGGGCCAAAAACCAAUCUAGCUCGGUGAUAGCUAGUUCCCACCGAAGCGGAUCUCAGUCCUCCCUGGGUGGAGGUGGCUGAUGCUGUAGAGCACCGAUGGGAUGGCAAGGGCCCGAAAGGGCUCACCAUCCUUUCGAACUCCGAAGGCAUCAGCACCGUAGAAGCCUGGAGGCGGGUUUGUGUGGGGUAAGCCCCACAACCGAGAGGGGAGCAACCCAGACUAGGGUUAAGGUCCCCAAGUGCUGGCUAAGUGUCAAACCAAAGGGCGUCCUCGGGCAGAGACAGCAGGGAGGUAGGCUUAGAAGCAGCCAUCCUUCAAAGAGUGCGUAACAGCUCACCUGCCGAGCCCGAGGGCCCUGAAAAUGGACGGGGCUCAAGCCAGCCACCGAUACCCUAGGCCUCCCGCAAGGGAGUGCGGUAGGUGGGCGUAGGGCCUGGGCAGAAGGUGGGCCGUGAGGUCCACUGGACCGGGCUCUAGUGUAGAUCCUGGCGGUAGUAACAGCAUAGCCGGGUGGGAAUCCCGGUCGCCGCAAGGGCAAGGGUUUCCCGGCAAUGCGUCGUCAGCCGGGAGUUAGCCGGUCCUAAGGGCAGCCCCAACGGAGCUGCUCGAAUGGGAAACUGGUUAAUAUUCCAGUGCCUUGAUGGUAUCGUUUGUACCCAUACCUGUAACUUCAGGAUAGGGUAGGCAGGGCUCUCGCCCUGUUUAACUCUCCAAGUCUAGGGGAGUCUCGUAAUGAGGAGAACCUAGGCGAGGGAGGAAUAGCCCUGCGUUAGCAGGGUCUGCUCGACUCCUGGAGGCCAUGAAAGUAGGUAUGGGGAGAUACCAUCAAGCCCGUACCGAGAACCGACACAGGUGCCCUGGUUGAGAAGACUAAGGCGUAUCGGGUAUACCGGAGGCGAGGGAACUCGGCAAAUUAGCCCCGUAACCUCGGGAUAAGGGGUGCCUGCGGUCUUUGCGAGGAGCAGGGACCGCAGGUCGCAGUGACAAGGGGGUCCUGACUGUUUAAUAAAAACAUAGGUGGCCGCAAGCCCGAAAGGGUGAGUACGGCCGCUGAAUCCUGGCCAGUGGCGGUACCUAAAACCCGGGUCCAACCGGGCCAAGGGCCGCUAAACGCCGGGAGUAACUCUGACUCUCAGAUAGGGAGUCGUUAAACUUGGCUAUAUGCUGGGAUAUGCUGAUGAAGUAGCACCCUGAGUAAGGGAUAGUGGCUAUGGAGGCAUGAUCAGCAGGGAACUAUACUUCUUCCCCUCAUCCUUAUAAAAUGGCUGUAAUAAUAUAGCCUGAUGGUGUUGAUAGAGCAUAGUGACAUAAUAGAUCCAAGGCUCUUACCAGCUAAAGGCAAGUACCUCCGCUACUACCUGCUUGGCAUAGCAGAUAGCGAAGGUUCGUUCUCGAUCAGCAUUAAAUUGCAGCCAGAUACUAAGUUCGGUGUAGUUAUAGAUCCAAUCUUCAAGGUGACGCAGCACAAGAACAAUAGAGUGGUCUUAGAACUCUUCAAGAGGACACUAAACUGUGGUAGAAUAAUAGAGAAGAGUGGGCAACCAGAUAUACUUGAGUUCGUAGUAGAUAACAGGAGACAUCUUAAGGAGAAGAUCAUACCGUUCUUCAAGAGGUAUAAGCCUAUAAUAAAGCGGAAUGAGUUUGCCCUCUUCACACAAGUUCUAGAUGCAUUAGAAGCAGGUAAACAUAGGGAUGCUAGGAGCCUAAAGGAACUUGUAGUAAUGCUCUAUGAACACUCAGGUGAGAGAGUGUAUCCUCUAGAGAUGAUACUUAAGGAGAUAGAUGAGAGGGAGGAAGUAUAGACUCCUCAGAGACCAUAAGCCAAGCACCCCAUAGAAUCCUGUCCUGUAUUCUAGGGGUGAAGAUAUGGUCCAACACGUAAUGUGUUGCUUAAGGUAGCCAAAUGCCUUGUCGGGUAAGUUCCGACGUGCAUGAAUGGAUCAACGAGGGCCCCGCUGUCCCCGCCUCCAACCCGGUGAACCCACGUAACGUGGACGAACAGUCCACGGACGCCCAUCAGGGAGAGAAGACCCUGUGGAGCUUUACUGCAGCCUGUUGCUGCGGUACGGUUGCGGAUGCAGAGGGUAGCUGGGAGCCUUCGAAGGUGCCUCUCCGGGGGCACUGGAGGCGCAAGUGUAACACCAGCCAUCUGCGACUGUAUCGCUAACCCUGCUAGGGGGACAACGGCAGGUGGGCAGUUCGGCUGGGGCGGCACCCCCUUGAAAAGGUAUCGAGGGGGCCCAAAGGUUGGCUCAGGCGGGUCAGAACUCCGCUGGUGAGGGUAAGGCCAAAAGCCAGCCUGACUGGAUCCCUAAACGCAGGGGAUCCAGAGGGGAAACCCGGGCCUAACGAUCCAUCCAGUCCCCACUAUUGGGGGCGGGUGGUGACAGAAAAGUUACCCCAGGGAUAACAGGCUUGUCGCGGGCGAGAGCUCCCAUCGACCCCGCGGUUUGGUACCUCGAUGUCGGCUCUUCCCAUCCUGGCCCUGCAGCAGGGGCCAAGGGUGAGGCUGCUCGCCUAUCAAAGGGGAACGUGAGCUGGGUUUAGACCGUCGUGAGACAGGUCGGUCUCUACCUGAUGGGUGCGCGGUGGCCUGAGGGGAAGUCGCCCUUAGUACGAGAGGAACAGGGCGGCGUGGCCUCUGGUGUACCUGCUGUCUGAGGAGGCAGGCAGGGCAGCUAAGCCAUCGGGGAUAACCCCUGAAAGCAUCUAAGGGGGAAGCCCCUCCCGAGAAGAGGCCACCACCGUUUAGGGAAGGGCGGCCAUAGAAGAUGGCGUUGAUGGGGUGGGGGUGUAGGCAGCAAGCCGCAAGGCGAGCUGUAAGCCCGCCACUCCCAAUAGCCCAACGCAACUAUCCUGGAGCGCAAUAACCA